AGAUUGGAAAGGUUCGGAGACAUUGAGGAAAGGAAAGGCAUUGGAGAAGUAGCUUGCCAGACGUCAGUUCUUCGGUGGAGCGAGUGUACCAGCGAAUUUGACUCGACCUCAGCUCUAGCCAGUCACAGCAUAUCAGGUUUAAGGGUGAGCUAUUUAUUCGAGCUUGUGUUGGAUUCUCUCGGUCAUGACUUGAUGUCCAUAGUUUUCGGACACAAAUUACUUUAUUUCAUUUAUUUUGGUGUCUUUAAUACUCUUAGCCUUAGUAUUUAGAGAUUAGAUGUCCUUGAUGUGAUGACUUUCAGAUUUUGGGGAUAAUAUGUAAUAGACUUUAGAAGUUUAUUUGAUUGGUUACUUUAAUAA